rnacentral:pre_miRNA from 1 species
CGGCUUGGUGAGGUGCAACUUGUUGGUGUGUGAUCAUAUUGCACUUACCCCGGCCUGG